AGAAAGGGAGACACAGAAUCCGACAGAGGCUCCAGGCUCCGAGCUGUCAGCACAGAGCCCGACGCAAGGCUCGACCGUGGGAUCGUGACCUGAGCUGAAGUCAGCCGCCCAACCAACUGAGCCACCCAGGGGCCCCUAAAAUGGAUAUUUUACUUGUAAGUCAAGUGGGCACAUACAUGGUAAUUGCUUCCGCCCCAUUUCCAUGGGCUCUCGUGCCGCGUCACCCCCUCUGAGAGGGAUAUCGCUGUUCCCGCUGCACUCUUCCAAUUUCUUUUAAAAAUAAAAUAAAAAUUAUUUAAAAGCCUCUUUUGGCCUCAUAAAUUCUGGAGCCAUUUUUGCCGAGAGUUUGGCAAGGGUCCUGUGAGGGUGCGGAGGGACGGCCUUGGGCUCGGCCGACUCUUGAAUCUCUCUGGCCAGCAGCCCGUGUAAGGCUGUUCCCCGGGGACUGCGCACUUUGGCGUCCCCAACUUACUUCAUAGGCCCCUAAAUAAACCUUGUGGGUUUCAAUGCUCCCACAGGGCCUCUCUGGAGAGAAGAGUGUUCCUAAAACAAAACCUCGGAUGACAUUCACGGACGUCCAGCUCAUCAGGCAUGCCGCCGAGGGACUGACUUCCCAACGUCCUCCCAGGUGGUCAUCACUGACGCUGCAGGGUCAGCCGGACUCCUCGCUGGCCUCACGUGUCAGAGCAGAGGUGGCCUCUGAGGGAUCUGGGAGCUUGCCUGGACCUGUGGUCGAGGUGUGAUGUGCGUGCGGUCAUGGGUGUGACAGAACUGGCCGAGACGUGUCCUUCACUGGAGAUGUGGCUUCAUAUCUGUGCCCUCCUGCCCCCAUCACAUGUGAUGGAGCAUAUCUGUGGAUUGCUUUAUACUUGAGAAGGAUGCAACGCAUUCACGAGCUCACUGGAUUUUCACACGGCAACUCCAGGAAACCCAAGCUCUUAUCUGAACUGUAUACGUCAGAGCACUGAGCCCUGGAGGGUAUCUCUUGGACAAAUCCCAGUGUGCAAUCCUUCUUCCCUGAAAACGUGGGAUCGGGUAAAACUGGAUUUUAAAGACUGUUGAGUCAGGCACGACAGGGAGCGAUCUUUAGGAACACCCCCAGGUGUGCUGCUUAGCCGAGGGGCUGUAUGCUGGAUCAUCUGCCAUUUGUCCUUCCAGCCCCAUUCUCUUCUCUUCUUUGCCCUGUGCCCUGGGAAGUUGAUUCUGAAAGACUGCUUCUAUGGGUUCCAUUGCCCUGUGGCUUCUUCUGGUUGGAAUCAGACAAUGGCCAGCACCGGUAGGAGAUUGGGGUGGCAGGAGGGGGGCAUCGCAGGGUAUUCUCCCAGCCAGGAGACCAUGGCUAAGUUCAGGAAGCCUUGCUCCUGUGGACCCCAGGGCAUUGCAAUACUCCUUGUUGGUUUCCUUACACUCGGCUCGCAUCUUUAAGAAGAGCCCCUUUUUGCACUCCCCGCCCCCGUUGCAGAUAUCAUGUACUACUGAAUCUGCUGGGAGCUCAUACAAUUCACUAUGCAGGUAGUGAGCGGACUUGAAAAAGUGGUUUGUCACACGCCUUGAAGAGAGUAUUGAGUGUAGGCAUCUGCUCUUGAUCGGCAGGCUGAGUAAGGACGGGCUGUGUCUCUCCCGGCACUAAUUGGCAGACUUGAAUCAUCUCUCCUGACAGAUAGCUUCUUUUCCUCCAGUUCCUGCCCCGUCAGGAAUUUUCCACAUGGUAGGAUUUCCAGAUAAUGAAAUGUCCACUUGAGAGGCUCUGACUCUGAAAGAGUGGCUCAGGGGCAAGUUGAGUGUCUCCUGGUGCCGGCGGGGGCCGUUUUGUGCCUUGUGUCCAGUGGGGUGCCAGUGCCAGUGAUGGUUUCCGGGGUCCAGAAGGGCCCACGUGGUCCCUGCCACAACAAAACUCCUGGUUGGCGAGAAGGCUUAACUUAGAGCCCAUUCAACUCUGUACAAGUGCUACUGUUCGUCGAUAACUUUGUAAAGUACGUGUGAGGAUUAUCAUAGCAAACCCUGACCAAAGCAGAGAAAGGAGAAAAAUCCACGAAGAGUUCUGGGUCUGAUGCAGCUGUGCUCUGAUUUCCAGGUCAGGAGUGGCACUUGAAGGGAGUGGACGGUUAAUCCUGCGGCUCUGUGCUCUGACCAGAAUCUGUCAUUUGUAUUGGGCCGAUGGCUAAACAAGGCCCCCGUGUGUUGAUUUCUCCUAGGUCCACGUCCCUCUGUGCUGUGUCCUCACUGCUCCUCCCACCCACUGGUGGGGGUUCAUUUCUCCACCCUCUGGAAUCUAGGUUGGACCUGUGAGUUGCUUUGGCCGGUAGAACGCGGCAGAACUGACAUUCUGAAAUUUAAGAAGCUUUUUAAGAGAGCUUUUGCUUUCAACUUGGAGAGAAACAUACUUGCCGUGUAAACAGCCCAGAGUAUCCGUAGAGAGAGAGGUCACAAGGAAGAAAAAAAGCGAUUUCGGGGAGCAGAGAGGAGUGGUCCCUAACGAGCCCUGCCAGAAUUUCUGAUCUUUUUUUUAAAAAAAUUUUUUUUUUUUUAACGUUUAUUUAUUUUU
rnacentral:lncRNA from 1 species